AAGGUGACCUAGGUUUUGACUAUCAACCCUAAUAUAGUCAACCACAUUGUAUUUCAAUCUUUCAAAUCCAUCACAUGGAUUAUCCUGAUCAAGAUUUUACUAAAUUGAAAUACACUGAUGCAUAUCUCCUACUAAUUCAAAGGGGUCAAUUCUAUCUUGACUCAUACAUCGACUUGAUAAGUACUUGACUACACCUAGUAACCUUCUGUUACUG
rnacentral:lncRNA from 1 species